rnacentral:miRNA from 1 species
CCAGGUAAGUCCCCCAACUCUUAAAUCCAGCGACAGAUUUAACAUUGGAGGAGCUACAGCUGG